AUUUUUUUCACUCCGCCAGUCACCGAGUGAGAGAGACCCCCCUCGCCCCUAUUACCACGUCUGACGCAGGUUCUUAAUACAGUGGGAAUUGCCCGAAAUUCAAAGGGAUUUAAUAUUCAUUCAGUUUACAUUUCAGGCACAAUAGUUGAAAUUGAAAAAUUCUCCCAAUAGCUCUGCUUUUAGUUUGAAUUCUCGUUAAUUUACACUUUAUUGCUUAUCCUGUAUGCAUAUAAUGUUGCGUGUUUUGAAGCACAGGCAUCAUCAUGCCAAAUUCUCUUUUUUGGAUAGUUUUUGUGUUUUCUAUACAUAUAAUCCAGUUAAAAUGUCUUUCUCCUCAAACUUACCUUUCUCCUAUUGUUUCCUCUUCUCUUUCAGAAUUUGUUCUUCUUUUCUUAAUUUCUGAGCUAUUUCUCUUCACGUUCGACAAAGAAGUCCCUACUAUAUAGUCUCUACUUUGUCUUAUGUUUUACUUUUCCUACACCUGACAAAGGGUGCGUUUUAAGGCAAGCUUCGCUCUUUGUUAAUUGAGAAAGGAAGUGAAGUUUGCUUUCCUAUCCAUCCUUUGUUGAGAUUGCCAAGAAAAGAACAGAUUCUGAAAGUGGAAACCAUAGGUGAAACGUUUGCGGUGACCAUAUAUGUCUGUAUAAUUCAUUCCUUUGUGCGCAGUAUGGGAUGUAGCGAAAUCUCUGUUACGUUGGUUCAAGCUUCUCCGUGGCAUUUUCGUUAUUUCAUUACAAGCGUAUGAGAUGGUUUAUGUGUUUAAGAAUAUUUGAUAUGACUGUUUCAUAUUAUUUAUGUUUAUUACAUUAUUUUGGCU